AAGCUGUGAUGAAAAUUGUGUCAACUGUGAUAGCGGGUCUAUCACUAACAUCUGAUUCUUCAGGUGAAAAGUAACACAUCUGAGCUC